rnacentral:rRNA from 1 species
UACGAAGGUGGCAAGCGUUGUUCGGAUUUACUGGGCGUACAGGGAGCGUAGGCGGUUGGAUAAGCCCUCCGUGAAAUCUCCAGGCUUAACCUGGAAAGUGCAGAGGGGACUGUUCAGCUAGAGGAUGGGAGAGGAGCGCGGAAUUCCCGGUGUAGCGGUGAAAUGCGUAGAGAUUGGGAGGAAGGCCGGUGGCGAAGGCGGCGCUCUGGAACAUUUCUGACGCUGAGGCUCGAAAGCGUGGGGAGCAAACAGG